CUUAUCUAAAGGUCUGACUGGUUGAAACACAACAGUUACAGUUGCGACUGCAUGAGUUUACGGGAUUGGACGGUUUCAUAUUCAAGCGUUAUAAAACAUUUUGAACGACUGGUUUAGCAGUUAAAAAUUGGUGCAUUUUUGAGAGCUUUAUGACUGGUUAACGGAUUUACGUUUAGGAUAUGAAAAUUACGGAUUUCUAUUUUUGGUGGAAAAAUUACGGAUUUACGUUUUUGGCGGAAAAAUUACGAGUUUACUUUUUUGGUGGGAAAGUUACAGGUUUACGUUUUUCUGGCAGGGAAAUUACGGGUUUUACGUUUUUUGGCGGAAAAUCAUGUGUUUACGUUUUUGGCGAAAAAAUGACAAGUUUAGUUUUUUGGCGAAAAAAUUAAGAGUAUGUUUUUGGCGGGAAAAUUACGAGUUUAUGAAAAUGUUAUCAUCAUGAUGAAAAUAGUAUGAUAAUGAUGGUGAUAGUAUUAUGAUAUUAUGGGAAACUCAAGUCGGCAGACAACUAAGGGAAACUCAAGUCGGCAGACAACUAAAAGUCUCCGAAGACAUUGCCGGGGCAAAAAAGAAAUUCCCCGGAAAACAAAACCCUAU
rnacentral:sRNA from 1 species